GGGAUUGCCUCAGUAACGGCGAGUGAAGCGGCAACAGCUCAAAUUUGAAAUCUGACCCUUCCGGGGUCCGAGUUGUAAUUUAUAGAGAGUGCUUCGGGCGAGAUCGUGGUCUAAGUUCAUUGGAACAUGGCGUCAUAGAGGGUGAGAAUCCCGUAUGCGACCGUGGAUCGAGCCCAUGUGAAGCCUCUUCGAUGAGUCGAGUUGUUUGGGAAUGCAGCUCAAAAUGGGUGGUAAAUUUCAUCUAAAGCUAAAUACUGGCUGGAGACCGAUAGCGCACAAGUAGAGUGAUCGAAAGAUGAAAAGCACUUUGGAAAGAGAGUUAAAAAGUACGUGAAAUUGUUGAAAGGGAAGCGCUUGCAACCAGACCUGUCCGUAGGUGAUCAGCCGCUGUUUUUCAGUGGUGCACUCKCUCUGCGAUCAGGCCARCAUCGGUUCGGGCGGUCRGAUAAAGGCCUUGGGAAUGUAKCUCCUCUCGGGGAGUCUUAUAGCCCUCGGUGCAAUGCGGCCAGCCGGGACCGAGGACCGCGCUUCRGCUAGGAUGCUGGCGUAAUGGUUGUAAGCGACCCGUCUUGAAACACGGACCAAGGAGUCUAACAUCUAUGCGAGUGUUUGGGUGUCAAACCCAUGCGCGGAAUGAAAGUGAACGGAGGUGAGAACCCUUAAGGGCGCAUCAUCGACCGAUCCAGAUGUCUUCGGAUGGAUUUGAGUAUGAGCAUAGCUGUUGGGACCCGAAAGAUGGUGAACUAUGCCUGAAUAGGGUGAAGCCAGAGGAAACUCUGGUGGAGGCUCGCAGCGGUUCUGACGUGCAAAUCGAUCGUCAAAUUUG
rnacentral:rRNA from 1 species